AGUGCAGCAAUUAACCGUAGUAAGAAGCAUUGUCUUUAUGAAGUACAGUACUAUGUUUUCUAAUGCGUUUGUUACAGGAAGAGAAUUCAUUAAACCUGUCAUGGGCUACUUCUGCAACCUGUGUCAAGCCAUUUAUGUCAAUGAGGACGAAGCAAAGUACCAACACUGCAGCAGCCUUUGUCACUAUCUGAAGUUUAUGGAACAUUCAGGUAAAGACAAAGCCUCUAGCUAAAGGAUGGUCCAUCUCUGUAGGAAGUUGACAAGAUGACAGUUUUAGGCCCAAUUUGACGGGAAGUGUACAAGUGCACACUUCUGGAGGAGUGUGAAGAAUUGGGAUUUUGCCAUGUCUUACACUCAGAAGAACGGCACAGGUUUACCUAAUCCACGAGAGGSUCUUUGUGAAACUCAACCUAGAACAAUAAAUGGGAUUACAGAUUACGUUAAUCUGUAUUGGUUUAUAUGAACAAAUGUUCAGCACCUACCUACAUAUAUUGUUAUGUUUGUGUUAUAAUAGCUCCGAUCUACUUCCUGUAACUUGAUUUGUGUGUCCUGUGCUUGGAAUUAAAGCUUUUAGAAAACCCUA